GGACUGGGGCUCAGUGGUAGAGCGCUCACCUAGCAUGCUUGAGGCACUGGGUUCAAUCCUCAGCACCA
rnacentral:tRNA from 1 species